UGUCAUGCGUGCCUCACCAUUGUUUGUCACACAGAGGAGUCGGCCGCAGCUCAAGGAGGACAACCGCAGCCAGAAGACACAGGAGAAGGGCUGCGUACCAGAAGAUCGCAGGUACACUUUACAUGCUCAUCUUCAGGUGCAAGAACGAUGUGAUGUCCACUUGUCCAGAUGGACAAUCUGUGCCACUGAGGAAGUCUCAGCCCUAGAACAGUGGAAGAUAAGAAUUAUUAAUCAUUUCCAAGGGCACAUAAAAUAAUUCACAAUAGCAAUGAGGCAAACCAAGAGAAAAGAAUUGUGCAGGAAUUCAGAGAAUGUGAUAAGGGAUGCAGAAAUCUAAAGCAACAAAAAUCCUCUCCAGACCAGGAGGGGGAAGGAGUAGAGAUUAAAUGAAGUAUCAACAAGGACUCUGCACCUGACCUAUGGUUCUCUAAUGGUAUUGGGGGAGGAAUUCAUAACCUGCAUUCUGUACAGUUACUGCCUACGCUGGAAUUCUUUUAAGCACUUGUUAUCUGUUAUCAUAGCCUGGCAUCUUAUAAACACACAGGUUUCUAUUUCCUUCAGUGCCAGUUUCCAGCCUAUAAUGAUCAGAUCUACCUAGUCUAUCUUAGUUCUAAACUCUGUGUUUAAAUAACAUUAGAAUUACUUAAAAUACAAACUAGAGAAUUGGUCUUUGGUACUCACACUUAUCAAGGUACUUAAGAUUCUUUGCAUUUUACUGGCUUAUAAAUCCCUAUUGUGGUAUAGCUCUAGUACACAAAGGCUGAGGAGCCAUAAUGAUGUGGAUCACUGGUGCUAUACAGCCCAUCGCAUGGUCAUUUGCAGCCCCAAAUUAAUCAUGUGUCCCUAGGCACCAUACUGUUUCGGGUCCCCUUCCUACCUUCAUUGGUAGAGAAAGUCCAAGAUAGAAAAAGGAACCUAAUUUGGCUAAUGCAUACCCUCCAACACGGCUGAACCUAAAAUUGGUACAAAUUAGGGAAGGGGUGUGGCCACGAAUAAAGGGGGUGUGGCGCUCCUAUAGGAAUCAAUAGGAUUGGGAGAAGCCGAAACCCAGUACAAAGCCCUUUAUGGCCCAUACAGACCACAAAAAACAUGCUAAUGGAUGGUCUUUCUAAGGUCAUGUUAUAGAAUGCCAAGUGUCCUAGGACAGUCCAAUACCUCCCUGUCAGCCCAGAACAAAUCAUGGUACUGUAACUAAGGGUUACCACUGUGCAUGUAGGCAGCAGAAUAAUGAGCAGGAAGAGGAUCCAUCGAUGUAUCCUUGGAACAGAAGAAAAGCUGCCUUGGGCACGACGAUGCUUGGAGACACAGUUUCAGAACUGACUAUAGUCAGUUGUCUUUCAGCUUUGAAGAACCAGCAGCAGGACUUUGUCAGUAUGAAGACUACAGUACAUUUGACC